UACGUAGGGUGCAAGCGUUAUCCGGAAUUAUUGGGCGUAAAGCGUCCGCAAGUGGCUGUUCAAGUCUGCUGUCAAAGCGCAGAGCUUAACUCUGUACAGGCGGUGGAAACUGAAGAGCUAGAGUAUGGUAGGGGUAGAGGGAAUUCCCGGUGUAGCGGUGAAAUGCGUAGAUAUCGGGAAGAACACCAGUGGCGAAAGCGCUCUACUGGGCCAUAACUGACACUGAGGGACGAAAGCUAGGGGAGCGAAAGGG
rnacentral:rRNA from 1 species